rnacentral:rRNA from 1 species
GAAUCUUGGACAAUGGGGGCAACCCUGAUCCAGCCAUGCCGCGUGAGCGAUGAAGGCCUUGGGGUUGUAAAGCUCUUUCACCCGUGAAGAUAAUGACGGUAGCGGGAGAAGAAGCCCCGGCUAACUCCGUGCCAGCAGCCGCGGUAAUACGGAGGGGGCUAGCGUGGUUCGGAAUUACUGGGCGUAAAGGGCGCGUAGGCGGGCAUUCAAGUCGGGGGUGAAAUCCCGGGGCUCAACCCCGGAACUGCCUCCGAUACUGGAUGCCUGGAGGACGGAAGAGGCGAGUGGAAUGCCGAGUGUAGAGGUGAAAUUCGUAGAUAUUCGGCGGAACACCAGUGGCGAAGGCGGCUCGCUGGUCCGUUUCUGACGCUGAGGCGCGAAAGCGUGGGGAGCAAACAGG